rnacentral:rRNA from 1 species
AGGGUUUGACAUCCUGCGAAUCCCUUGGAAACGAGGGAGUGCCUUCGGGAGCGCAGUGACAGGUGGUGCAUGGCUGUCGUCAGCUCGUGUCGUGAGAUGUUGGGUUAAGUCCCGCAACGAGCGCAACCCACGUCGUUAGUUGCCAGCAUUCAGUUGGGCACUCUAGCGAGACCGCCGGUGAUAAACCGGAGGAAGGUGUGGAUGACGUCAAGUCAUCAUGCCCCUUACAUCCUGGGCUACACACGUACUACAAUGCUACGGACAAAGGGCAGCAAACUCGCGAGAGCUAGCAAAUCCCAUAAACCGUGGCUCAGUUCAGAUCGUAGGCUGCAACUCGCCUACGUGAAGGAGGAAUCGCUAGUAAUCGCAGGUCAGCAUA